CCUAAGGUAGCGAAAUUCCUUGUCAGGUAAGUUCUGACCCGCACGAAUGGCGUAAUGAUUUGGGCACUGUCUCAACAGCCCGCCCGGCGAAAUUGUAGUACUGGUGAAGAUGCCAGUUACCCGCAACUAGACGGAAAGACCCCAUGGAGCUUUACUGCAGCUUAAUACUGAAAUUCGGUAGUACAUGUACAGGAUAGGUGGGAGACUGAGAAAUACAGGCGUCAGCUUGUAUGGAGUCGCUGUUGGGAUACCACUCUUGUACUGCUGGGUUUCUAACCUGCGGCCGUGAAUCCGGUCGGGGGACACUGUUAGGCGGGCAGUUUGACUGGGGCGGUCGCCUCCAAAAGAGUAACGGAGGCGCUCAAAGGUUCGCUCAGCAUGGACGGAAACCAUGCCAGGGAGUGUAAACGCAAAAGCGAGCCUAACUGCGAGACUGACGGGUCGAGCAGUAACGAAAGUUGGAGUUAGUGAUCCGGUGGUAUGUGAGUGGAAAUGCCAUCGCUCAACGGAUAAAAGCUACCCUGGGGAUAACAGGCUGAUCUCCCCCAAGCGUCCACAGCGACGGGGAGGUUUGGCACCUCGAUGUCGGCUCGUCACAUCCUGGGGCUGUAUUCGGUCCCAAGGGUUCGGCUGUUCGCCGAUUAAAGUGGCACGCGAGCUGGGUUCAGAACGUCGUGAGACAGUUCGGUCCCUAUCUGUUGCGGGCGUAAGAGAUUUGAAGGGAGCUGUCCUUAGUACGAGAGGACCGGGAUGGACGUACCUCUGGUGCACCAGUUGUCCUGCCAAGGGCAUAGCUGGGUAGCUAUGUACGGACGAGAUAAACGCUGAAAGCAUCUAAGCGUGAAACUCCCCCUAAGAUGAGAUCUCUCAUCCUUCAUGGAGUAAGGGCCCAGGAAGACUACCUGGUUGAUAGGCAAGAGGUGGAAGCGCAGUAAUGUGUGUAGCUGACUUGUACUAAUAGCCCGAGGGCUUGACCUA
rnacentral:rRNA from 1 species